rnacentral:rRNA from 1 species
GACGAACGCUGGCGGCGUGCUUAACACAUGCAAGUCGAACGAGACGAUUUAGAAGCUUGCUUUUAUUGAGGCGAGUGGCAAACGGGUGAGUAACGCGUAGACAACCUGCCGCAAAGAUGGGGACAACAGUCCGAAAGGACUGCUAAUACCGAAUGUUGUAUCUCCUCCGCAUGGAAGAGAUAUUAAAGAUGGCCUCGUACUUGUAAGCUAUCGCUUUGCGAUGGGUCUGCGUCUGAUUAGCUAGUUGGUGGGGCAACAGCCUACCAAGGCAACGAUCAGUAGCCGGUCUGAGAGGAUGAACGGCCANAUUGGAACUGAGACACGGUCCAGACUCCUACGGGAGCAGCAGU